UCUCUCUGUGUGCUCACGUUGUUAUGACUCUGAAAAAUACAAUGGAGGUAUACACUGCUAAUUUCAUGCUGAGGGCUGCAUUGUGGGGAAUUAAAAAAUAAAGGUGGGGGAACUUUGUGUUUGCUGUUGUGGCAGCACAUAACAGCAAGCAGAAUUCAGUUUGCUGGCUCGGCUGUCUCUUGUUUCCUGCCUUAAGAGAGUGAGCAGGGCACAGAACAAAGCCUGAGCUGAAUAUUGCAUGGGAAGAUCCGUUACUGCCAGCUGCCACUAUGAUGUCAUGAGAUGGUCAACAGGAUUUCGGGAAGAGAUGGGAGAAAAAACUCUGUGGCUUUGUCCUCCUCCCUCAGCUGACAGAAGCAAAAGGAGCAGAAUCUCCCAGUGCUGAAAUGGAGAAGACUUUGCUCUUAACACAGGAGACCGAGUCCAUGUCUGCUCUUUUUAAAAGCUUGGGAAAAUCAGAUGUAGUAUUUGUGUGACCUGAAGCUCACCCAUUUCUUCCAAAUGCAUGAGCUGAUGUAACAGAUGAUUUCUCCCUUCCUUUGCGCUGUGGAUGAAGUAGGUGAGUAUAUUCCCUCAGCCUUUGCAAGCACCUUGUUUGUAUCUGGGUCACUUGUGUACAGUGCAGAGGGUUGCUGAUAUGUGAUGGAGCAAAUUAUAAGUGAGAAUCACUCACUUCACUUUGAUUUUUGAUCUGAGAGAUUUGUAGAAAGAAGUACAACCUUGCAGACCCCCAGGAAAGAUCUGCUGUUGACUCCAAGAUUCUGGCUUCUGCCAUGAGAAUGGAAGGUUUCAGUGCCAUCUGCCACAGAGCAGACUUAUCCACACCUGCUGGCUGGCACCACUGUGUGAUCGUGAUGCACAGGUUCACAGAAAGGCUUGCAUGCAAAUCCAUACAGGAUUAGUGUUAAGUGAGAGACUUUUUCUGCAUCUGGAAGAUUAAAAUUCUCCUAAUCCUGCUGUGUUUGAGUUGUAAACCCUGAAGAGAAAAUUUUAAAUCAGUUCUAUGUCAUCUUCUUUAGACUCUCCCUUGCCACAGGUCAUUCCUGGGGGAGACUUAAAUGUGGUACUUCAGAGAAGAAGCUGCAAUGUCUCCAAAAGUGCU
rnacentral:lncRNA from 1 species